rnacentral:rRNA from 1 species
AUGGGGAGGCGAAGCAACAGGCGGUCCGCGGCGCAGGACGACACCAAUGUCGGCUGCGUCUGGGGCCUAAUGCGCAUGGUCUAUUUCCGCCGCGACCCCAGAUUCCUGAUGGACGCGAAGCAGGCGGGCGGGAGGCAUAAGCUCCGGGAGAUCACAGACGGAAGGGACUCAGGGAAGAGGCCUAGGGAUUUUGAGGAAAUCGAAAAAGAUGAUAACAUAGAAAACGGCCCUUUGCAGCAACCAACCGUCAAAAAACUUAUGGAGGAAGAAUUGGGGCGUGUGAAUCUUUUGAGGACAGUUCCAAACAACGAGGUUCAGAGAAGAUUAGCUGAUCUGGGAAAUGACCUAUCUCUUGAUGGAAAUUCAGAGCAUACAAAUAACACAACAGGAACUUUAAAUCACGGCACGGAUAUCUCCGUGUCUCGUUUAUCUGGGUCAGUGGAUUCUGAGGGUUCUAAGAGCUUGAACCACGCUGAAUAUGAUCUCGAAUCUGUCUUGGCAAGCUUCUUAGGUGAGAUUUAUAGGUGCCACAAUGAAUGUCCACAUGAUGAUUGCAAGAGUAAUAGUGAAUUGUGUCCUUCAUUGAAGUCCCUAAUCCAUAAGAAGCUUAAUGACUUAAGCAAUCUUCAAUCCAAUAUUGAUUGUGAGCAACCUCAAGAGAGCAAGGGAGAAAAGCUACUGGCUGGUAAUGGCAUUUCUAGCAGCAGGACUGUUCAGUCCAAGGAAUUCAAGGAUGCUCUGGAGAUACUGGGUUCAAACAAGGAACUUUUCCUGAAGGUGCUUCAGAAGCCUAAUUCACAUAUGUUGGACAAUAUCAGAAACCACCAAAACAGUAGAUUGACAACCAAGUUAGAGCCCAAUAAAAAUCUUGGAGAAACUAAUUCCCUUGAAGAGACAAGAGGCUCAAAUCAUGACUUGUCUGCACCGGCACAGGCUAAGGAGAGCAAACAUAUGUUCUUCUGGAGGAAAGACAAGUCGAAAAUAAAGCAGAUGCUACCAGAAGGAAUUAAUGGAUCUCAGCCUGUUAGCAAAAUAGUUAUUCUGAAGCCAAAUCCAGGAAAAGGAAUUGAUCAGACAGUGACAAGCAGUGCAAGAUAUUUACAUCAGCAACCUAGUACCUCUCAAACUCCAGAGUACAGUGGGAGGGAAACCUCAAAAUUUUCAAUCAAAGAAGUCAGGAGGAGAUUCAGAAUUGUGACUGGUGAGACAAGAAGAGAAAGAAAUGCAGCACCUGCAGACGACCUUCAAAGAGUUUCACGUUGGCAUUCCAUGAUUGCAACGAAGAAGAGUUCUGGGUAUCACACACAAGGGAGCUUGGCAGACAAAUCUGCAUCAAAUUUUAAGAACGACAUCGCCAGACCUUCAACCAGCAGCAAGCAAAAGCAACAAAAUGGCGGCGAGACUGAAAUUAGUGGUCAUAUAGCAGUGCCACAAGAUGAUUCUAUCUUCUACAAGGAGGCCAAGAAGCAUUUAACAGAUAUGCUAAAGGAUAACAAUAAGUCCGGCAACUAUCCAACAGCCCAGGUCUCAAAAUCCUUGGAAGGAAUGCUUUCGCUCCCUCACUGCGAUGUGUCAUCUCCUAGGAAUAGCCGUAGUGGAAAAUGCCACACUGAUCUCUCACCUGAAGAGACGGAUUCUUGCCUUGUACCCAUGGUUGACAGUGAAGAAACUACACAAGAGAGCAGUCAAUCAUGGGACGACUCACUGAGCAACACUGCACAUUGUCCUAGUAUAGCAGUUGAUGAUCAGGUGGUUGUUCAGGACAAAUGUAGCAUGAAAGAAGAACCACAAGAAGGACAAGGAGAUGUUACUGAUGUGGUAGACACCAUAUGUAUGGAAGAAAUUGGAAAAAUAGAUUGUUCUGAAACAAUCUGCAACACACAAUCCAUCUCAGCAGAACUAUGCAGAGAUAGCCCGCAGCCAGAUAUGAUAGAGGAAGCAGAGCAAGGAAAAGAACCUGUUAAAAUCUUGUUGAGCUAUCCUGAGAGCAUUGUUGAAUUGGAGCAGCAAGAACCAGGAACACCUGAACCAAGAGCAUCGGCCAAAUUUAUCUCAGAUUGUUCCCCCGAGCUAAGCCAUGACAAGCAAGAACAGCCCAGUCCUGUGUCUGUUCUUGAUUCAUUCUAUGAAGAUGUUGCAGAUCCUGAAUGCGAAAACAUUAAACAAUGUGAUCUGCAUGAAGAGUUGCGUGGAGCCCUGUACUUCCCAGAUAACGAAUCAGAUCUAAAGGUCUUUUGGGAGGACAAGAAUGUCCGAUUAGAUUAUAUAAAGUUGGUUUUGGAGCUCUCGGAAUUAUGCGCAGAACAGAAUUUAGAGGUAUGGUAUCUGGAGGAUGAGUUAAUCAGCCCUUGCCUGUUGGAAGAACUACCAAACCAAGGUGAUCAAAUAGAUGAUCUGAAAAUUCUGUUUGACUGUAUCUGCGAAGCUCUAACAGAGAUCCAGGAGAGAUAUUUUAGACUCUCUUCUUGGUUGUCGUUUCUCAAACACGACAUACGGGCACCUCCAGUGGGAGAAGACCUCGUCGCAGAAGUUGACAAAUAUGUUGACGAUUACCUCCGACAUAGUUUUCCAAGUACAUUAGACCAUACAAUAAAAAAGGAUUUCGAAGUUCGGACAUGGAUGGACAUUCGGUCGAAGACUGAAGGGAUCGUUGUGGAGAUAUGGGAGUUUGUGUUAGACGAACUUAUCGAUGAGGCUGUUUUCGAUUUGUGGAUUUGA